rnacentral:lncRNA from 1 species
UACUAAAAUACUGCCUAACAUUGACUGAAUGAACUAGUGACUAUACCUUUCUAGGCUCUAGGUGCUGGAUGUAGCCAUGGUAGGUGGGGGCUCUACCAAAUUCCCCCUCGAGUAUACACGCUACUGAAGGGAGGAUUCCAUCCUUGACGACUACCAUAAAUGGAUUCAACUAUUUUGACCCAAGCUGCUUCUUCGUCACUAUGAAAUAUCCGCAACCAUUUGAACAUCAUACUCCUAUUAUGAAGUCUCAAGUUCUUGGCACCUAGCCUCCUGCUAUUUUGUCGCUAAGAACUGUCUGCCAAUUGACUAAGUGAAUCUUUUUACAUUCAUUAUUUCCAUUCCAUAGAAACUUAUUCCUCAUGGAGUUCAGUUUCUUU